AUUCCAUGAUAAGAACACUCGAGUAUAUAAUCUUGAAAGCGCUCCUAGGCUUCUGGGACUGUCUCAUCAUGUUGUUGUUAAAAAUUUGAUAUCUUCCCACGAAGAGC
rnacentral:snoRNA from 1 species